GUCGACGUAUAAAUUUAUUGAAUAAUUUGUAAUGUUAUUUAUGUAGGAGGGCGGUCCAGCUGAUCCACGAUCACCUCCACCGAGAGUAUCACCGCUACCAUUGGCAUCACCUCCGCCGAGAGUAUCGUCCCCGCCAUUGGCAUCACCUCCAUCGAGGGCAUCACCUGAGGGCAUCGCCGCCGCCAUUGGCAUCCCUCCGUCCAGACACCUUCUCCCGUGUGUCUCCGGCACACAGUGAUGAUUUGUAUGCCCGUUUGACUGGAUUUAUAGCGGAGAAGGUCGGCGUCCUAAGACGAGAUUUGAUGGAGAGGGUCGAUGAUUUGGGACGAGAGUUGACAGAGAGGGUCGACGAUUUGGCAGGGAAGGUUGACUAUCUGACAGGGAGGGUCGACGAUAUGGGAUGAGAGUUGACAGGGAGGGUUGACGAUCUAUCCCAUGAUGUUGGAAUACGAUAGUCUUCCGUUGUCGACCUUCAGGAUACAGUAGCGACGCUUAGAGGAGAUUUAGCCGGCAGACGAUAGGGAGACAGAGGGGAUAGUGGAGAUCAUGAUCGAGAGGGUGGCAGAGAUGGUGAUGGAGAGGGGGGUCACCCACAUUUUUGGAGUGAUGAGACAUUGGAGCCAUUAUGGUUGUCUAUGGAGGGGGUGGCCCCGACGGGAGGGGCGGAGGUGGUGGCGACGGAGGGGGAGGCCUCGAUGGGAGGGGCGGAGGAGGUGGCCCCGAAGGUUGAGAGGACGCCCGGCAUGAUUGAGGGUAAGAGACAUGCUGUUGACGAGACGGAGCAGGUGGUCGGCAAGAGGUUGAGAGUGCCGUCACAGUAUGUUGUUUCCCCCUUCACGGAUGAGGCCAAGAGAAGGACGUUCAUCGAUGGGACGCACCCGAACUUAUUCAGAGAGGAGGACAAUGUCAUGUGAAAAGUGUUCGAGACAGAGUGGCGGAGAAGUAUCCCCGGAUAAGUAUUGUAUGAUUUUAAUAAAGUACUGUACGCUAACUCGUCACGCUUAUUUUAACAUUUCCCUAUUUUUUACAGAGUUAGCCGCACGAUAGGUCAAAGGAC
rnacentral:lncRNA from 1 species